CUGGGUGGUGAAAGUUGUUCCCCAGCCUCCUGAACCACUCCGACCCCUGGGAGAGGAUGUGAAGCCGGAGCCUGAGCACACACCACCCCCUCCUGCGCCGGUAAAGAAACCAGUUGAAGUGAAAGAGAAAGUUUCCCAACCCCAAAAUGUUGCAGCUAAACCAGCCGAGAAGCCAUCAGAACCACCAGA